AACGAACGCUGGCGGCAUGCCUAACACAUGCAAGUCGAACGAAACCUUCGGGUCUAGUGGCGCACGGGUGCGUAACGCGUGGGAACCUGCCCUUAGGUUCGGAAUAACUCCCCGAAAGGGGUGCUAAUACCGGAUAAUGUCUUCGGACCAAAGAUUUAUCGCCUUUGGGUGGGCCCGCGUUGGAUUAGCUAGUUGGUAGGGUAAAAGCCUACCAAGGCGACGAUCCAUAGCUGGUCUGAGAGGAUGAUCAGCCACACUGGGACUGAGACACGGCCCAGACUCCGACGGGAGGCAGCAGUGGGGAAUAUUGGACAAUGGGCGAAAGCCUGAUCCAGCAAUGCCGCGUGAGUGAUGAAGGCCUUAGGGUUGUAAAGCUCUUUUACCCGGGAUGAUAAUGACAGUACCGGGAGAAUAAGCUCCGGCUAACUACGUG
rnacentral:rRNA from 1 species